AUAUUCAACAUACAUCACGUGAUCUUGUCAAUGUGACCGAUAUAAUGGGCAUGAAUAAUCAUGAUCAAUGUCCAGUAUAGCGGUGACAAUGAGAUGGUCAUGUGGUCAUCAGACAAACAAU
rnacentral:precursor_RNA from 15 species